rnacentral:rRNA from 1 species
GAUGAACGCUGGCGGCGUGCUUAACACAUGCAAGUCGAACGGAAAGGCCCAAGCUUGCUUGGGUACUCGAGUGGCGAACGGGUGAGUAACACGUGGGUGAUCUGCCCUGCACUUCGGGAUAAGCCUGGGAAACUGGGUCUAAUACCGGAUAGGACGAUGGUUUGGAUGCCAUUGUGGAAAGUUUUUUCGGUGUGGGAUGAGCUCGCGGCCUAUCAGCUUGUUGGUGGGGUAAUGGCCUACCAAGGCGUCGACGGGUAGCCGGCCUGAGAGGGUGUACGGCCGCAUUGGGCCUGAGCUACGGCCCAGACUCCUACGGGAUGCAGCAGUGGGGAAUAUUGCACAAUGGGCGCAAGCCUGAUGCAGCGACGCCGCGUGGGGGAUGACGGCCUUCGGGUUGUAAACUCCUUUCGCUAGGGACGAAGCGUUUUUGUGACGGUACCUGGAGAAGAAGCACCGGCUAACUACGUG